rnacentral:lncRNA from 1 species
AUUGAAAGGAAAAUCUAAAUAUAGGGGGAUUAUGCAUCAUGGGGAAUGUUUUCAUGCUUCAAGGUUUUUUCAAAUAUCUUAAUUUAUUUUAGAAGAACAUGAUUGGCAGAAAAUAAUUGAAAGUCUUUGAUGUUGUAGACGAAAGCCUCCUUCACCUAGCAAGAGCAUGCUGAUAACAUGUUGUAAGCCUAUUUGACUGAACUUUAUUUAGGACAGAGAGGGAGAGAGACCAGUGG